CCGAAGAACUAAUGCUUUUGAACUGUGGUGUUGGAGAAGACUCUUGAGAGUCCCUUGGACUACAAGGAGAUCCAACCAGUCCAUCCUAAAGGAAAUCAGUCCUGAAUGUUCAUUGGAAGGACUGAUGCUGAAGCUGAAACUCCAAUACUUUGACCACCUGAUACAAAGAACUGACUCAUUUGAAAAGAUUCUGAUGCUGAGAAAGAUUGAAGGCAGGAAGAGAAGGGGAUUACAGAGGAUGACAUGGUUGGAUAGCAUCACCUACUCAAUGGACAUGUUUGAGUAACUCCGGGAGCUGGUGAUUGAUAGGGAGGCCUGGCGUGCUGCGGUCCAUGGGGUCGCAAAGUGUCAGACACGAUUGAGUGACCGAACUGAACCGAGCAUAAUCUACCUGAAGACGUGGCACAGCUAGAACUAAUGAAGCUCUAACAGGAGCACAGAAGAGUCUAGGACAGAAAUAGGUAUUCUUUUUGGACCACUUGCUUCUCAGACUGCAGAAAGCCAACCUCAGAAGAGCUUGAGCCCAAGGCGCUGCAGAGAUCAUUUUCAAAGAGAGCCAUCGAAUGUCACCGUGCUGUGCAACAGGGGAGCUAGACGCGGAAGGUCAGGGAAGAAGGCUGACGGAGGGACCAGGGAGAGGAGAGGAAGACCAGCGGACAGCAGUCACUCCACACCCCGCAAGGACCACGGUCUGGCCCUGACGAUGAAUCUUCGGCAGAGAGGAAAUUCAGCACUGGAGGGAGGACCCAUAACUGUCGUAACUCACUGCUUCCUGCGUGUUUAUAGAACUGGGUUAUUAUACAGGCUGUUAAAUUGAUACCUUAAUUACAUGCAUUGUGGCCAAGUUAUGGCUGUCACGAGAGGCAUAAAUCUGAUCUCUCUGACAUGCUCUCAACUAGAGCGUUUUGUUAGGAUAGUCUUGAAUACAAUCUUGAUGAUAAAAAGAGGAUCUGCAAUACAAAGAUUUACUUUGCCAGUAAAUAAAUACUGCAACCGUUCUCUAGCCUGCUGCCGA
ensembl:lncRNA